rnacentral:tRNA from 2 species
GGGCCUGUAGCUCAGUUGGUAGAGCACUGCGUUUACACCGCAGGCGUCGUCGGUUCGAGUCCGGCCGGGCCCACUA